UCUCUGAUGGUUCAGUGGUUAGGACUUGGUGCUUUUCCUGCUGUGGCCCAGGUUCGAUCCCUGGUCAGGGAA
rfam:TPA: Bos taurus chromosome 3, whole genome shotgun sequence.